rnacentral:rRNA from 1 species
CCCUACGGGGCGCAGCAGUGGGGAAUAUUGCGCAAUGGGCGAAAGCCUGACGCAGCGACGCCGCGUGAGGGAAGACUGCCCUAUGGGUUGUAAACCUCUUUUGUCAGGGAGCAACGCCGGCUACGUGUAGCCGGACUGAGAGUACCUGAAGAAAAAGCAUCGGCUAACUCCGUGCCAGCAGCCGCGGUAAUACGGAGGAUGCGAGCGUUAUCCGGAUUUAUUGGGUUUAAAGGGUGCGUAGGCGGAAUGCCAAGUCAGCGGUAAAAUCGCGGGGCUCAACCUCGCUCCGCCGUUGAAACUGGCGU